UCAUGUGACCAAUGAAGAAGUUCUUAGGAGGGCUGGCAUCAAGUCAGUUGAGACUUUCAUCAGUGCUGCCAGGCUAUGUUGGUAUGAACAUCUAGUUAGAAUGCCAGACUCUAGACUACCGAGGUUUCUGUUGAACUGGAAGCCAAAUCAUGGAAAGAGGUCAAAGGGCAGACCCCGAAAGAAUUGGAAGACCUGCGUACUCGAAGAUGCUGCUAAGUUUACAGGUGUUGAAAACAUCGACAACAACACAACAGAAGCUUUGGCUACCAACCGAGUACAGCGGAGACAUAUGUUACGCCGCCAACGCGAUGUAUGUGAUGCAGGCCACUCCAACGACUAGGAGGAGACCUUACCAUGUAAUGUAUGUAUGGAUUGAAGAUCAACACCGAAAAAACACAGUAUAUGGUUGUCAGUAAAUGUGGGUCCCAGUGACCCUACACCGAAAGAGACACUAUUGAGCUUACAGUGGAGGGAAAUCUGUCUAUCUGGGUGCCAACAUUAGUGGGAACGGUACUAUCAUCAUAAUCCCUGAGAAGAAUCUUAUGAUAAAUUGGUUUUAUGGCGUACUGGCUUAAUGUCUAUUGACACUUCAUCAGUUCUGCUAGACUACGGUGGUAUGGACACGCUGUAAGAAUGCCAGAGACUAGGUUACCAAAUUUUUUACUGGAGUGAAACCUAACUAUGUAAAGCGAUCGAGAGGGAGACCCCAAAAAGCCUGGAUGGCCUGUGUACUCGAGGAUGCUGCUAACUUAACAGUUGUUUAAAACAUCAGUCGAGAUGCAGUACGACAGUUAGCACUGUUAAGCCGUACAAGGGACGUGUGUGAUGCAGGCCACUCCAACGACUAGGAGGAGACCUCUUCAGUCUUCAUGUAGCAUGAAUGUGUAUGAUUUACAUUGCAUUACAGCUGUACUGAAUUAAAGGGAACCCUUUUUGGGCUUUCUUUAGCUAAACUUGAUUUAAAUAAUAUUGAAUUGACUGACUAGUUUGUAAUGCCUAAUGUUAGCAAUUGUAACCUAUUAUAGUAAUUGUGAUCAAACAAUGUAACUUUUCAUCAAAACCUUUUUUAUUCUAGGGAAUGUUCUGAAUUCCAAGUACUUAUUACAACAACAAUCUUGAUAGUUGAUGAUUUCGUAUUUUGUGGAGAUCGGAGAAUCUAUCUGCUCGACAUGUCUCUCUGUAUUAGAAGAGUUUGUAUGCCGAGAAGAGUUAGAAGGGAGAUGAAGAGUAAAACAAGGCAAACAUGUAUUGGACAGCAUUUAUAGCUUGACAAAGGGAUCAGGAGCUAUGGAGCUAUAAUAUGAAACACAUGCUUUUAAACAUCAUGGAGAAGGCAAGAAUGUUCAAAGCAGAAAAAAGGGGAAUAUCCUGAAGACAUAAAGUCAAGCUUCAAUUCUGGUUAAAAGAUGAAAUCGACUGAGGAAAAAAAGAAGAGAAGAAGCCGGAAGUAAGUAACUAUAGAAAGUUGGUGGUUUCAAUUUAGUAAGCCGGCUUCACUUAAUCUCCAGUUUGGGCUGUGGAAAGAAAUCAAGACAUGUUAACCACAUUCCUGACUGCCACAAACAAUUUGACUAUCGAGGUUAUGAUCUGGAAACACAUGAUUGAAGGAAACUGGACGAACGUUCCAUCAUAUGGCUACCGUACUCUUUACUAUAGUGUGGCAAAUCCAGAGAACGAUGUCAUGUUUACAAGUCUUGUCGUCCAGCGUGUAAAAGAAUCAGAUGUAACACAGCACCGUGCAGUGAUAGUCAUUGAUGAUAAGCAGCAAACUUCCGACAUGAUACCAGUGACAUUAUCUCCAACUGAUAUUUUUAAAUUAUUCAGUUUAACUGUGAUAAAA